rnacentral:rRNA from 1 species
GAUGAACGCUGGCGGCGUGCCUAACACAUGCAAGUCGAGCGGAUAAUUGUUGCUUGCACCAAUUCUUAGCGGCGGACGGGUGAGUAACACGUAGGUAACCUGCCCUACACAAAGGGAUAACAAUGAUAAAUCAUUGCUAAUACCGUAUAAGCUUACACUAUAACAUGAUAGAUUAAUAAAAAAUUUAUCGUUUUAGGAGGGGCGCGGGUAUGAUUAGCUAGUUGUAGAGGUAACGGCUAACAAAGGCGACGAUCAGUAGCGGACCGGAGAGGAGAAACGGCCACAAUGGGACUGAGAGACGGCACUAACUACUACGGGAGGCAGCAGUGGAGAAUAAUGCAGAAAGGAGGCAAGUGUGAUGAAGCAACGCCGAGUGAAGGAAGAAGGUUUUCGGAUCGUAAACUUCUAUCUACAGGGAAGAAAAAAAUGACGGUACCUGAGUAAGAAGCCCCGGCUAACUACGUG